CUAUUCUUAGUCAAAGAAACCUUCCCCUGGUCCAUAGUCUAGCCCCGCCCUGCUCUCUGCUGCAGUCCAGAUUUAUAAGAGCCACAGAUCCUCAGUACUGGUUUGGCACAAGACUUCCCGAGCAGGACAUGUAUCCCACAAAAUGUAGCCAGUAUCCAGGGCAGCUCACAGCUUUGGUUCUUGUGAGAUUUAACGAAGAUGAUGGUCUUAAAAUGGUUUUACCACAAGAAAACUUCCCCACAAGGAAUAUACCUGUUGUCUUCCCCUGAGGCCUCACACUGCCAGUCUGAGGAGUUUACAACUAAAUGAUAGAUCCAGAGGGUUUACCACAGAUCAUGGGAAGACAAUGCAGUUGAGAGGAGAGGUUCUCAGAUGAUGAGGAUAGACUGAUGGAGUAUAAACCACACUGAAUGAAUUCUCACCUGAUGAAAGGUCUGGAGAUAGCCAGGACGGUCCUGAUGAACCAUGUUGGCAUCUCUUCAGCCAGCUGAUGCCAGGCAUCUUCCUGCGCGGCGUUGCUCCGUUUAGGUAAACAAUCAUGUAAUCUUCUGC